GCUUCAUUUGUCUUCAGUAGAUUUUUUGACAUGUGUGGGUAGAGCAUGAGACUCUUAAUCUCAGGGUUGUGGGUUUGAGCCCCACAUUGGGCA